AUUGAACGCUGGCGGCAGGCCUAACACAUGCAAGUCGAACGAGUGGCGGACGGGUGAGUAAUGUCUGGGAAACUGCCCGAUGGAGGGGGAUAACUACUGGAAACGGUAGCUAAUACCGCAUACCAUCGGAUGUGCCCAGAUGGGAUUAGCUAGUAGGUGGGGUAACGGCUCACCUAGGCGACGAUCCCUAGCUGGUCUGAGAGGAGGACCAGCCACGCUGGAACUGAGAGAGGGUGCAGACUCCUACGGGAGGCAGCUGUGGGGAAUAUUGCACAAUGGGGGAAAGCCGGAUGCAGCCAUGCCGCGUGUAUGAAGAAGGCUUUCGGGUUGUAAAGUACUUUCAGCGAGGAGGCGUUACUCGCAGAAGAAGCACCGGCUAACUCCGUGCCAGCAGCCGCGGUAAUUC
rnacentral:rRNA from 1 species